GCCCGGGGCCUGCUGCCACCCCAGGGCUGGCACAGCCAGGUGCCAUCGGCCUCUGGCACACCUGGGCUGUGCCCAGCCCCUGGCACCAGCACCCCCAGGGCCUUUCCCCAGCAGCUUUCCAGCCCCUCUGCCCCAGCCCAGUUCCAUGGGGUUGGGCUGAGCCCAGGGCAGGAGCUGGCCCUGUCCCUGCUGUCCCUCACAGCCCUGGCCUCAGCCCACGGAUCCAGCCUGGCCAGAUCCCCCUGCAGAGCCUGUAGACAUGAUGCAGUCUGUCAGCGGUAGCUCAUUUCAGGAUGCUAAAAUAACACUUGACAUCUUGGGCUGGUGCACACCCUCAAACGAGGAAGAGUUCCCUCACUGGCAUGGAAGUUAACAGCAGAGAAUCAGCCAGAAUUCCGCUGCUGUCUCCAUGCAGACCCUGCCCUCAGGAGUGACAGGCUGAAGAGGAGUGAGCAGAGUUUAGCACUCUCAGAGCUCUGCUUGCUCUCACAGCGUGCAGGAGAGCAGGGGCAGAGAUCAUUAACAGGAACCUCCAGAACAAAAUGCCAGGCCUCGUGUUCCCUCACACCCUGCGAGGGACACACGGAGCAGAGAGGAACAGCAAACCUGUCCCAUCACAGCCUCUGCAGACCUCUGACCUCUCAAAAAUAAUGAAUUUGGCAGGAAAGGCUGGCCACUGCUGGUACAGCAGCUAUCAAUAUAUUCUUAAUAGAAAUGGCUCCACCGGCAGCUGAGCCCACCCCUGCCACCACAGAGAACGGUGCAACACUCCAACAAGAACCUGCUGUAGAAAAUGUGGUGAUACAUAGUGUAAAUAAGUGGUUUAGUGGCAGCUGUCAGAUUACCUCUGUUGUAAAGUUGCUUCUUUAAAUUUACAUCACCGCAAUCACAAAAACUGUAAUUAAAAGCCGAGUAAAUUACUGUUUGCAUUUCUAAUGCAACAGCAAUUUCAAAACAAUGUAUCAAUACAGAACAACAAAGAAAUUGUCUAUUUUCAAAACCAGGGAGAAGAGAUUUUAUUCUGUGAUACAUGUGUGUUUCCCAGCAUGAUUUUUCUUUUAAUGACGCCUCAUAGCAAAAUAGUCCACUCUACUUACUGAUCAUGUUAAGCUGUUGCCAUGGAAAUAUGAAGACCCUACUGUACUCAGAUGUUAACUCUUAAAGCACAGCUUUACACUUCUUUAAUAUCAAUUUUUGUUUAAAAGGAGAGCUCUUGGAAAUGCAGAAUUCAGUUAUUUGCCAGCUAUCUAGCACAAUAGCUGUGCAAGGAAGAUAAUGGCAAAGGCUUGUUUCAGGGCUGUUGUAGGACAGUACAGCCAUACAGAAAUUUCCCCCCACAUCAUUCCCCUCUGAGUAAAGAUUAUGAGAAAAGUGACAAACAGCUCCACAGACAAUGUCAGAAGCACUUCAUCAGCCAAGUUCAUUAAGGAGGAGAAGAAACUGAGCUCCUGCUUACUUCCAGACAAGUAUUUCUGAAGAAAUAAUUCUCAUGCAUGCAAAUGCAACUGACUUGUGAGGAAAGCCAUUCCAGACAUCCAGUUCCAGUCAGCUGGAGAACCACCUAAUUCUUCAACCCCUCCUUAUAAAGAUCUCCUCCUUCCUCUCUCCAAAACAGAAGAAUGCUCUUGCUUCCAUCAAAAGUGAGUGACAGAAGAUCAAAAAGGCCAAAUUACCUGUGCAGCCAUUAUGAAGUCUGGAAAAUCAGGGGCAGGAACUCAGAUAUUUCAAAAAUUAGUUCAAUUUAUCAAUCAAUUGUUAGAUGUCAUCCCUUUCCUGGGCUGUCAUCCACUGAAACCGCCACAAAAAUACUUGAUAAAUAUAGGAGGGCUAUCAGUGGAAGGAUGAGACUGAGUUUUAAUAAGCAUCUUUACAUCCAACUGAUACCCACUGGAGCUAAGGACCAGAGCAAUAAAAGCUGGAAGAUGCAUUUAAGUUUCUCAGCUGCUUUGUAACAUUGUCAGAACUCGUAAAUUUGGCUUCUUAAACAUGUCUCUAAAAAAAACUGAUUUCUGCAGUUUGAGCUUUUAUGAUCACUUAAAAAUAAAUCCAAAUCACCUGACAGGUCACUAAAUAGGCUCAUAAAUUUAUCUUAAAAUCCCAUCCCACAUGCUUAGAUUUUCUUUUAGCAUUUAUCCCAGCACUGCCCAGCCCAGUUCUGUGUGAAUGACCAGGGGUUUGGCUCCAUGUCUGCAAUUCCUGCUGGCCCCAGGAGGGCUCUGUCCCUCCCCUCUCCCUGGGACAAGUGGAAAUUCAGAAUGGAGCUGGGCAAAGGCACACACUGCUCCAGGUGCAGCCUCUGGGGACUCUUAUCACAGACAGUCAUAAGAAGGGGUGAUGAUAUUAAGGUUACUUCCCAAAAUCUGUUCCAUUUUAACUCAAAAUAUUCUAGUAAAAGCAGAAGUGCUUAACAAGGGGGAAAAUUUAAGACCUAAACUAAAAACAAUUGGAUCCCUACUCAUUAAAACGUGUUCAUUAAGCUGUGGUGUCUUUAAAAUGUCACUAAAACAAUAGGAACCCAAACGAUAACUGUAAUAUUUGGUUUUGUCUGGGAGAAGUAAUAUAAAAGUAAGGAUUUCUCAGACUCCUCCUGCAUUAUCUCACAAAAAGGGUUAUUUACUGCAGAAGAUCACCUAACAUUUUGGUAGAAGUCAUUGAAAAUUCAGUCUAUUUGAACAAGAAGAGAACAUAAAUCCUUUUAAAUAUAUUUAAUUAACAAAAAAAUACCCUACCCCAAAAUCUCAUUUUGAAAAUAAACCCUGCAGCAACUCUAGCAUACAAAUCAAUUACCACAUAUAUUCCUUAAGAGUUAGUCUAGAUGCCAAGUGAAAAUCAAUGUGAUUAUUUGGCUUUACUAUAGGACAGCACCAGCUUUAUGAAAGUUCAACUGAAAUUUUGGUAUUAUUUGUGCUUUCAGAGUCAAAAGAGAUAAACCCAAUAUAUUUGAAUAGGAUCCCAUUAUCAAGGAGUUAAAUACAACUCAAUGUAAAUAAGUAAAAUUAAAGAUACAUAGUGUCACCUAAUCCCAGAAUAAUGCAAGUGCAAAAGGACAGGACCUCAGUUUAGUGCAAAAGAAAGCUUUCUGCUUUAUUUUCUCCCUGCAUGACAGAAAAAUGAACAAUAUAUAUACACUAAAGUGUGGGAAUUUCUCAGAAUGAAUAGAUAACAUGCUUUCAAAUUGCACCUUCUCAUGUACAGCUCUCACUCAGCCUGUGUUUGUUUUGAGGUGUGCAAAAGGUCCUUUGGGUCAAUAUUUUCAGAAGCAGAAGAUGCAGGUACGAUGAUAUAAGGACAAGACUCUGCAUAACCUUGGAGUCUAGAGGUAUCUUCAGAGAGAAGUAAAAAUAUUUUCAUUUGCAUUUUCAGGUCUCUCAAGUUGGAGGCCUGGAGAGAUACUUAGGAUGUUAUAUUUUAGAAAGAAGGUGUAGAAUUUACUUGCAAGGCAUAUUAAAAUUGGGGAUUUUAUGGAAAGGAUAUAAUUAAGCACACUAGCAGUAAGAUAAUGUGGAUUGAGGAGCAGAUGGGUGCAUAUAUCUGUAGGAUUUUCCAACAAAGAAAAAUAUAUUCCGAGUGAAAUGCAAGUGACUGAUGCAGACAUGCCUUUAUCCUCACCUGCACUUAUCAGCUGCCAACAUUUCAAAUUGCACUGCUCUUACUGGAGUGAAACUUUGCCUCUUCUUACACUGACUGGAGCUUAUCUACAGCACCAAGACACAAUGGGUCUGCUUGAAAGAUGCAGAUCCCCCUUUAACAUUUCUUAAUUCUGUUGGAUUUAAGUCAAACCCUCAGGGUGAGCACCUGUUUUGAACAGCUCAUCAAGGAUGAAGCAACACCCCUGUAGCAUCAGCAGGCUGAUAUAUGAACUGUGCAAGAGGCUGAUAUUGUGGCAGAGUGUUUAAGCAAAAAAGGAUUAAUUUCCAAGUGGCUUUUUGGGAGAAUUGACCAAGACAGGCACCUCCUGAAUGGAGGGGGAAUGUGCUCUGCAGUGAAAGGAAAAUUAGCUCAAGAAGUAUCUGAGCAGCCUCACCUUCAGGUGAGGACAUCCUCACCAGCAGGACAUCCACUCCAAAGCCUCUCCCAUUAAACACCCUUCUGGGUCAGAAGAGCCAGGAGCCACUUAGGAACCAGCCCCCUGUUGCCUGAGCUGUACUUUGCUGGGAGUCUGCUUUUCGAUUUUCAUGCUGUGAUUAUUGAGAGGAAGUCAGAGAAGGGAGACCUCUUAAAAACCUCUCCAUUUUUUGUGAUGUCCAGGCUGCAGCCUGCAGGCAGGUCCACAGGGGAUGGAAAGCCAAAAACACUCAUCCCACCCCAAAGAGAUGAGUUCCCCAGGAAAGGAACCAGGCCCUGCCUGUCCUUCGUACCGGGAGGAAGAGGAAGCAGCUGGAAUGUGCAGCUUGGGCUCAGGGGUUCACAGCCAGCAGGGCUUAGUUCCCUCAGCAUUGCCUCAUCUCCCUGGCAUCUGGAAAAUGCAACUCCAGCAAUGUGCCUCUUUGGCACUGACCUCCAGGCUGUCAGCUUAAGUGUAGCUGAGGUAAACUUCCCAGAGCUGAUAUCAUGCUACAGCAAGUAAUACCUAUGCUGUGGAGUUGCUUCGGUGCUUUCAAAUCACUUUGACACACUGGAUAAAAGAAUUUCCAUAAUUAUAAAUCAAAAUAUAAUGGAUUUCUCUGGGUACUGCUUUAAUUCAGGCAUACAGCCUUUUCUCUGCUUGCUCUCUCCAGCACACUGGCUACAACCGUAUAACACUGGAACAGAGCACAGCAGUUCAGCACAGGAGAACAGCAAAACUGUCUCACACAACACAAGUAAUUGUCUAUUUUGUAUGGCAGACCAAUAAUGGGUACAAUGGCCCACCUUACUCCCUCCUUUUCACUUGGGCAAGAAUGGGAUCUGCAGAGUGAACUGACAUUUGCCUUGCAUUUGCCUUUUUGCCCUGUUAAUUUGAUUGAUGUAAUGCAUCCUUCUCUUUCUUUCUGUUGCUGAAAAAUAUUGCAAGAAUAUGUCAAGGCUGAUGUACUCUCAGUCAAUCAGAGCAGAUUUCUGCAUAUAACUUCCCUGAUAAUGCCUUGUUUGUCCUCUCUGCAAACUUGCAGUGUUGGGAAUGUAGGAAAAGGCAAAUUGAAGUUUGACUAUUCUCUCGAUCUAUUAGGAUGGAAUCCAGUGCACAGGGCUGCCAGUGCCACUUCAGCACAUCACAAGGGAGGCUGCAGAGUGGAUUUGGCCAGAUAAAACUGCCCUGUCCAGAGAUUUCUGCACAACAGAAACCACAAUUUCUCUGCCUGCAUUUCCAACGCUAAAGACUAUUUAUUCCACUGCAGAUGCUCCAGUGCACAGAGUGGGGCAUCAGUGAUCACAAGGUCUCUGCAGCCUCCACAUCACUCUGUUGAUCAGAAGUUCUCACUGCUGGGAACUCAGGCUGCUGACAGAAAAUAUCUGUCCUUGCAUACUCCUCCUUCCUGCCCUCAAGCACAGUCUGCUUGUUUCCACAGCCUCUCAGGGCAGCUUCCAAAACCUCUUCUUCACUCCCAAGCUUCAGUCAGAUUUGAUUUCAUGACAUCAAUGAGGAUAUCCUGAUUUCAACAACAGUAAAAAGCCUUUGGGAUUUAGAUAAAGAAAGAAAUGUUUCUUCUCCAGAGGAUUCCACCAAUCUUUUGGAGACUUCUUCUUUCCUUGUGGCUGAUUUUUAACCACUUGCUCUGUUAUAGCUCCAGACUUCCAGACGGUGCUGCAGAGGGGACUGAUGGCCUGUUAUCAUCCUGCUAAAAAUAGCAACAUUUCCAAGUCCUUCAGCUCUCCAGACUGUAACAGUGGAUUGACCCCUGUUUGUGUGCCUUGAGGCCUGAAGGCCACUUUUGUUUCUAAAGCCUUCAGCGGUUGCAUUUCUGUGAAAGUCAAUGGAAUUCCACCAGCAUCAAACCAGUGCAAUGGAGUGGUGAAUUGGGCCCUUGGAAUUUAACUCAGCAUGGACAAAAUGCAGCUGUGGAAGAGCAGGAGAGUGACCAGGACAACUCCUGGCUCACCUGUAAGACCAAUUGAACACCAGCAUUUAUUAUUUUUCAGACUUUGUCAUCUCCCCUCAGAUACAUUUACCAUGAUAUUCCCUAAAAGCGUGGGCCAAAGCUGAGAGUGCAUCAAUAAAGCACAUGAGAAGUGUUUUAAUUAGGACUGAUCAGCAGUGGCCCUCUAACUGCAGCUGCACAUACUGCACUGCUUAUGGUACAAGGGCAAAGGGAAAGGCACUAAAAAUAAUAUUGCAGGUUUCAAAUGACUUGUGCUGCAGGUAAUAUCUCAGGCCAUUACAGCUGAAA